UAAAAUGAUAAAAUAUCUAUAAUCUCUAUACUAUGAGAAAAAUUUAAACUCACAAAUCCUCUUAUGUAAGGGUUAUGAAUAUAUAUUACACAUUACUGAAUGUUUAUGAAAUAUAUACAUGGACUAUACAUAGUGUAUAUGUAUGAAUAUACAUAUUUAUAGAGGGUAUAUAUAUGACUAUAAUUUUUAAAAUUUUAUUAGGGAAUAAUUAUUGAGCCCAAAAGGAGUGUGAAAGGAUAUUUAGGUGGUGUGCAUUGUUCCUUAUCUCCUCAGAUCACACCACCAACACUACCCUUGGAGCCAUGAUUUUCUCUGCAAGAAGCAGAAUGCUUCUCACCAAGUAGGAAGCAUAUUCCUAUGAUGCCCUUCUCCAGUACAGUGUCUAGGGGUUUCAGGACAUGUCUAGUCCCAAAGCUGUACAAACAAUUCAGUAACUUCUCAAGUUAUGAGAUUACCCUCUGGUGAAGUCACCUGGGCUUGAGGGUUGGUUUGGCACAGAUCAUUGUUAGUAGUUAUUUGUCAUUGGUCUUUUAGUGUAUUACCUUUUUAGUGUAGAUUUUAUAUUUCAGGUCAAUCCUGGCAGCCAGAUUGGCUGCUGUAAUGAAGAUGUGUGGAUAUAUUUUCUAUUCAGGGUUAGUGACAUAACUGAAUAGGCUUUCUUUGGGUUAAGAGUGACAAGUUAAUCUUAGCAACUUUAAAAUUAUUUUCUGCUUGCUAUAUUAGAAGAUAUAAAUACCUAAAUGGGAUUUUUUUUUGUUUAUUCUUAUUUUUCUUCCAAUACUUAAGUAAAAUGCCAUUAGUAGGACUGAUUUUCCGUUAGAAAACAUUUUAAUCUGUGCACGCAUAUAUUCUUUCUAGAAAAAGAAAAACAUCCAUUCAUGAGAGUUCAGGGAUACGUGAAAAUGAAGCAAAUGAGGAAAGACCCAUUCACAUUCCUCCAAAAGAUCUGCGGCUCACUGGAAUCAUGUUACUGGCUCCUGGUAGUCCCUGACUUUACCUGUUUGUUCCAGGAACUUGCUUUAUGGCCAUUUGUUCUGAUGAUCAGUUUGGACAAUCAACCUUUAUUCCUCCACCUCAGACAAUAUUCAACAUCCUGUAAUCAUCAUAGCGCAAUCAAGGCUGGUUUGGGGAAGAAGGAGAAGACCUGGGAUUUCCAUCAAGAACACUUAUCAGACUUUUCCACUAGAGAAAGUAGAGGCAAGCAGUCUGAUGGCUGCUCUGUCUGA
rnacentral:lncRNA from 1 species